UUUAAUUCAUACAUCUUAUUUAAUUUCUGUUGUUGAUUUAUUUAUUUUUAUUUGAUGUUAAGAUUAAGGGGGAUUAGCUCCUUGUUCUAGCUUUUAUAAUUGUCUGAGUUUAAUUUAGUUUUGUGGAUUUUAUGGUGAUUUUCUAUUUGAUUAUGUUAAAAUUUUAUUUGUUCUUUUUUUAAUUUUUUGUUAUUUAAGUUAUUUAUUGAAAUGUUUUCUUUACUUUGGUUUGUAUAGUAAUUAUUGUGUAAUUAGUAAAUUUUAUUGGUUGUUUUGUGAGAGAUGGUAGGUGUUAAUUGCUUUUGAGGAAUUCGGCAAAGUUCUAUGUCCGCCUGUUUAACAAAAACAUCUUUUCUUGUUAGUUUUUGAAGUAUGGCCUGCCCACUGACUUAGAGUUGAAGGGCCGCGGUAUUUUGACCGUGCAAAGGUAGCAUAAUCAUUAGUUCUUUAAUUGUGAUCUGGUAUGAAUGGCUUGACGAGACAUAAGCUGUCUUAGAGGUAUUGGUUUAUUGAAUUUGGUUUUUGAGUUAAAAUUCUUAAAUGUUUUUAUGGGACGAGAAGACCCUAUAGAGUUUGACAAUUUUCCUAUUUAUUCGUUGUUUGUAUUUAUUUACAUUGAGUGGGAGUGAAUUGUUUUGUUGGGGUGAUGGGAGGAAUAUUAUUUAACUCCUCUUUGUUUUUAUAUAUUUAU
rnacentral:rRNA from 1 species